rnacentral:rRNA from 1 species
UACAGAGGUCUCAAGCGUUGUCCGGAAUCAUUGGGCGUAAAGCGCGUGUAGGCGGUCCGGUAAGUCCGCUGUGAAAGUCGGGGGCUCAACCCUCGGAUGCCGGUGGAUACUGUCGGGCUUGAGUACGGAAGAGGCGAGUGGAAUUCCUGGUGUAGCGGUGAAAUGCGCAGAUAUCAGGAGGAACACCAAUUGCGAAGGCAGCUCGCUGGGACGUUACUGACGCUGAGACGCGAAAGCGUGGGGAGCAAACAGG